CGUAGGGGGCAAGCGUUGUCCGGAUUUAUUGGGCGUAAAGCGCGCGUAGGCGGCAAGGUAUGUCGUGCGUGAAAUCUCCCGGCUUAACUGGGAGGGGCCGUGCGAAACUGCCUGGCUUGAGGUCGGAAGGGGAAAGUGGAAUUCCGGGUGUAGUGGUGGAAUACGUAGAUAUCCGGAGGAACACCAGCGGCGAAGGCGGCUUUCUGGUCCGAUUCUGACGCUGAGGCGCGAAAGCGUGGGGAGCGAUCCGGAUUAGAUACCCGGGUAGUCCACGCCGUAAACGAUGAGUACUAGGUGUCGGGGGUAUCGACCCCCUCGGUGCCGUCGCUAACGCAUUAAGUACUCCGCCUGGGGACUACGGCCGCAAGGCUA
rnacentral:rRNA from 1 species